rnacentral:rRNA from 1 species
CUACGUAGGGUGCGAGCGUUGUCCGGAAUUACUGGGCGUAAAGAGCUCGUAGGUGGUUUGUCGCGUCGUCUGUGAAGUUCCGGGGCUUAACUCCGGGCGUGCAGGCGAUACGGGCAUAACUUGAGUACUGUAGGGGAGACUGGAAUUCCUGGUGUAGCGGUGAAAUGCGCAGAUAUCAGGAGGAACACCGGUGGCGAAGGCGGGUCUCUGGGCAGUAACUGACGCUGAGGAGCGAAAGCAUGGGUAGCGAACAGGAUUAGAUACCCUGGUAGUCCAUGCCGUAAACGGUGGGCGCUAGGUGUAGGGGUCUUCCACGACUUCUGUGCCGUAGCUAACGCAUUAAGCGCCCCGCCUGGGGAGCACGGCCGCAAGGCUAAAACUCAAAGGAAUUGACGGGG